rnacentral:rRNA from 1 species
UGAGGAAUAUUGGACAAUGGGCGAAAGCCUGAUCCAGCCAUGCCGCGUGCAGGAAGACGGUCUUAUGGAUUGUAAACUGCUUUUAAACAGGAAGAACACCUUCUACGAGUAGAAGACUGACGGUACUGUAAGAAUAAGGAUCGGCUAACUCCGUGCCAGCAGCCGCGGUAAUACGGAGGAUCCAAGCGUUAUCCGGAAUCAUUGGGUUUAAAGGGUUCGUAGGCUGUAUUAUAAGUCAUUGGUGAAAUAUCUGGGCUCAACCGAGAGAUUGCCUAUGAUACUGUAAUACUUGAAUAGCUAGGAAGUAAUUAGAAUAUGUAGUGUAGCGGUGAAAUGCAUAGAUAUUACAUGGAAUACCGAUUGCGAAGGCAGGUUACUACUAGAAAAUUGACGCUGAUGGACGAAAGCGUGGGUAGCGAACAG